rnacentral:lncRNA from 12 species
GCUGGUAUGACCUGGAGGAGAUGAGGCAGCAGUUCCAGUUCUGUGCUUCCAGAAGAUAAGGAGAACUGUGCGGUUGUCUGCCUGUGUCCUGUUGCCUCUUCCUGGCUGUGUCAUGAGAAGAGUCUGAGCGACGAGAGGCAAACAUGGCCCAAGCACCCACUGAUCCCAGUAGUGCCGAAACUGCUGACCCAGAGGAGAGUUCUCCAAAUAUGAUAGUCUACAGAAAGGACCUUAGUUUGAUUCUAUGUGAAAUCAGUCACUUGGAAGAGAAGACAGAACCCUCAGCACAAAGGAAUCCCUCUGACUCCUGAGACACCUCAC